rnacentral:lncRNA from 1 species
UUUUCUAACGCCGGCGCCGGAAAUGCCACUGUGGCUGCCGGAAUAGAUGAGAUGGCAACCGGAAUUGACACCUAAACAUAAUUUUUACAUGUGGCAAAAAAAAUUAAAAAAAAGAAGAAAAUUUCCAACUCAUCAUCUUCCCCAACCUUAUUCACCUCUUCCCCCUUUCCCCCCACCCGCCGGCGCCGCCCGCCGCCACCAUACGCCAGCGCCGGCCACCCCUUCCCCCAUUCCCAGACCCAUCGGCCCUCUCCCAUCCCCAGAUCUCGUCGGUCUCCCACUCCCCAGACCGCAACGACCUGUCCCUCCCC